CUGUAAGCCUGUGAAGGUGUACUGUGAGGUAUGCUGGAGGUAUCAGAAGUGCGAAUGCUGACAUAAGUAACGAUAAAGCGGGUGAAAAGCCCGCUCGCCGGAAGACCAAGGGUUCCUGUCCAACGUUAAUCGGGGCAGGGUGAGUCGACCCCUAAGGCGAGGCCGAAAGGCGUAGUCGAUGGGAAACAGGUUAAUAUUCCUGUACUUGGUGUUACUGCGAAGGGGGGACGGAGAAGGCUAUGUUGGCCGGGCGACGGUUGUCCCGGUUUAAGCGUGUAGGCUGGUUUUCCAGGCAAAUCCGGAAAAUCAAGGCUGAGGCGUGAUGACGAGGCACUACGGUGCUGAAGCAACAAAUGCCCUGCUUCCAGGAAAAGCCUCUAAGCAUCAGGUAACAUCAAAUCGUACCCCAAACCGACACAGGUGGUCAGGUAGAGAAUACCAAGGCGCUUGAGAGAACUCGGGUGAAGGAACUAGGCAAAAUGGUGCCGUAACUUCGGGAGAAGGCACGCUGAUAUGUAGGUGAAGUCCCUCGCGGAUGGAGCUGAAAUCAGUCGAAGAUACCAGCUGGCUGCAACUGUUUAUUAAAAACACAGCACUGUGCAAACACGAAAGUGGACGUAUACGGUGUGACGCCUGCCCGGUGCCGGAAGGUUAAUUGAUGGGGUUAGCGGUAACGCGAAGCUCUUGAUCGAAGCCCCGGUAAACGGCGGCCGUAACUAUAACGGUCCUAAGGUAGCGAAAUUCCUUGUCGGGUAAGUUCCGACCUGCACGAAUGGCGUAAUGAUGGCCAGGCUGUCUCCACCCGAGACUCAGUGAAAUUGAACUCGCUGUGAAGAUGCAGUGUACCCGCGGCAAGACGGAAAGACCCCGUGAACCUUUACUAUAGCUUGACACUGAACAUUGAGCCUUGAUGUGUAGGAUAGGUGGGAGGCUUUGAAGUGUGGACGCCAGUCUGCAUGGAGCCGGCCUUGAAAUACCACCCUUUAAUGUUUGAUGUUCUAACGUUGGCCCCUGAUCGGGGUUGCGGACAGUGUCUGGUGGGUAGUUUGACUGGGGCGGUCUCCUCCUAAAGAGUAACGGAGGAGCACGAAGGUUGGCUAAUCCUGGUCGGACAUCAGGAGGUUAGUGCAAUGGCAUAAGCCAGCUUGACUGCGAGCGUGACGGCGCGAGCAGGUGCGAAAGCAGGUCAUAGUGAUCCGGUGGUUCUGAAUGGAAGGGCCAUCGCUCAACGGAUAAAAGGUACUCCGGGGAUAACAGGCUGAUACCGCCCAAGAGUUCAUAUCGACGGCGGUGUUUGGCACCUCGAUGUCGGCUCAUCACAUCCUGGGGCUGAAGUAGGUCCCAAGGGUAUGGCUGUUCGCCAUUUAAAGUGGUACGCGAGCUGGGUUUAGAACG
rnacentral:rRNA from 1 species